AAACCCAAAUUGGAUUAAAGGAUUGAUCAAGUCAUCAUCAAAAUCAAUCAUCCAUCUUGGUGGAUUAGGGUUUUCACCCCAUCAACAUCCAAGAUCCAUUGAGUUUGAUGAGACCUAUGAUCAAAAUAACCAAGAUCCAAGGCCAUUAGAGGUCAACAAAGGUCAAACAAACAUAAAAUGUAAGAAAAUAAAAUAAAAUGCAUCAAAAAUAUUUGUAAAAUGAAUUUUAAAAGGGAAAUAAAAGAGAAAUUCCAUAAAGCCCUUCAAAACACCAAAUAAAUGGCCA
rnacentral:lncRNA from 1 species